UACGUAGGGGGCAAGCGUUGUCCGGAUUUAUUGGGCGUAAAGAGCGUGUAGGCGGCUUUACAGGUCCGUUGUGAAAACUCGAGGCUCAACCUCGAGACGCCGGUGGAAAUCGUAAAGCUAGAGUCCGGAAGAGGAGAGUGGAAUUCCUGGUGUAGCGGUGAAAUGCGCAGAUAUCAGGAGGAACACCCGUGGCGAAAGCGGCUCUCUGGGACGGUACUGACGCUGAGACGCGAAAGCGUGGGGAGCAAACAGG
rnacentral:rRNA from 1 species